UGUACCCGAAAAUGCAGCAACUGUGAAAAGCUCCUUAUAAAAGAGAAAAUGAAAAAUAUGGAUAAUAAGAUGGAUAAUCUCUGUAAUUCUGGGACUAAUACAUGCAGCCGAUACAGAAUUCACUGUGUUCAUGUAGCAUAAAACCAUUUCGCUUUCUAGUGAUUUUGCAGCAUUGCAAACAUGCUUACAAUUUGUUCAAUACGUAUACUCAUAUUCUUACCCAUCAGCUGCAGUGUACGCUAGUAGCAUACCAUGGCAAUCACGGGUGACGAAGAAUCAGGGUUUGAUUUCGGAGAAGACGCUUGAGAAAUAGCGACUACAUCUAAGGAUGGCAGCAGGCGCGCAAAUUACCCAAUCUUGACGCAAGGAGGUAGUGACAAAACAUAACUGUGUGUGACGAAUGUUGCAUACUUGGCAUGAGUGGUAGGUCAAAAGUACCACGAGUAGCCAGUGGAGGGCAAGUCUGGUGCCAGCAGCCGCGGUAAUUCCAGCUCCAAGAGUAUAUAUUAGAGUUGUUGCGGUUGAAAAGCUCGUAGUUGGGUGUGUGCUUCGCGAACGUAGACAAUCCCCUGGAUCUGCUUCACGUUGCAGCGAGGCAAAUGGCAUGGCCAUUUUCAUUCUUCAUUGAGUGGAUAUGGUGAUGCCUUGUUACUUUGAGGAAAGUAGAGUGCUACACGCAAGUUGCGCUGUGAACAGAAUAGCAUGGCAUGACAUAAUAUGAUUGCAAAUCUGUGUGAAUGGUUAGUAAGGUAUGUGGAAAUGAUUAACAGGAGAUGUUGGGGGUAUUCAUAUUUGAUAGCUAGAGGUGAAAUUCUCAGAUUUGUCAAAGAUUAACAAAUGCAAAGGCAUUUAUCAUGGAUGUUUCUAUUGAUCAAGAACGAAAGUUAGGGGAUCGAAGAUGAUCAGAUACCGUCCUAGUCUUAACUUUAAACGAUGCCGACUGGAAAUUGGACAUUAUAAAUACAUUAUCAAAUCAGCAUUGUGCCUGAAAAGUGUAAGUCUGUGGGCUCUGGGGGGAGUAUAGUCGCAAGACUGAAACUUAAAGGAAUUGACGGAAGGGCACCACCAGGAGUGGAGCCUGCGGCUUAAUUUGACUCAACACGGGGAACCUCACCAGGUCCAGACAUGCGCAGGAUUGACAGAUUGAGAGCUCUUUCUAGAUUGUAUGGGUGGUGGUGCAUGGCCGUUCUUAGUUGGUGGAGUGAUUUGUCUGGUUAAUUCCGUUAACGAACGAGAUCCAAAUUUGCUAACUAUAGCUGCUUCACGCUGGAUGCAAGCACACAUAGAGGGACGUUGCAUGAGUAAAGCGCGGAAGAGUUGGGCAAUAACAGGUCUGUGAUGCCCUUCGAUGUUUUGGGCUGCACGCGCGCUACACUGGUGCAAGCAGCACAUCAUUGUGGUGGAUAUGCUACAUGGAUUAUGAAAUCGUAUCGUUCCGGGAAUAGAUGUUUGUAAUUCUUGAUCUUCAACGAGGAAUUCCUAGUAAGUACAAAUCAACAGUUUGUGCUGAUUACGUCCCCUCCCUUUGUACACACCGCCCGUCGCUCCUACCGAUUGAGUGAUUCGGUGAAUGGUGAAGAUUGCGCGUAGAAAUCUUUCUCACGUGCAAAAACUACCGUAAACCACAGCGCUUAGAGGAAGGAGAAGUCGUAACAAGGUUUCCGUAGGUGA
rnacentral:rRNA from 1 species